rnacentral:lncRNA from 1 species
GAAAAGACGAACAGCAACCCAAGAAAAUCUCUCAUCUCUUAGUCAAAGAGUCAUCGUGAGAAUAUAAAGCCAGAAGGGUCUAGAACUUAAUCAAAUGGUCACCACAAUGCCACGCGUCACAAUCUGGUUAGAUGCCUUCACUAACAAAAGUGUAAAAUCAGAAACACGCUUUCUUCAUAUUUCGGAAGCACACUCUCAUAAGUAAGGAGGUCAAUGGUUCAAAUCUCAACAUAAACAAAGAAGAUGUGGAAGUAAUGUUUUG